AGUUGGGAAUCUUGGACAAUGGGCGAAAGCCUGAUCCAGCCAUGCCGCGUGAGUGAUGAAGGCCUUCGGGUUGUAAAGCUCUUUUGCCAGGGAUGAUAAUGACCGUACCUGGAGAAUAAGCCCCGGCUAACUUCGUGCCAGCAGCCGCGGUAAUACGAAGGGGGCUAGCGUUGUUCGGAAUUACUGGGCGUAAAGCGUGCGCAGGCGGUUUCUCAAGUCAGGGGUGAAAGCCCGGAGCUCAACUCCGGAAUUGCCUUUGAAACUGUGAGACUCGAGUGCGGGAGAGGUGAGUGGAAUUCCCAGUGUAGAGGUGAAAUUCGUAGAUAUUGGGAAGAACACCGGUGGCGAAGGCGGCUCACUGGCCCGUUUCUGACGCUCAUGCACGACAGCGUGGGGAUCAAA
rnacentral:rRNA from 1 species